UACGAAGGGGGCUAGCGUUGCUCGGAAUCACUGGGCGUAACGCGCACGUAGGCGGAUUCCUAAGUCGGGGGUGAAAUCCUGGAGCUCAACUCCAGAACCGCCUUCGAUACUGGGAAUCUUGAGUCCGGAAGAGGUGAGUGGAACUGCGAGUGUAGAGGUGAAAUUCGUAGAUAUUCGCAAGAACACCAGUGGCGAAGGCGGCUCACUGGUCUGGUACUGACGCUGAGGUGCGAAAGCGUGGGGAGCAAACAGG
rnacentral:rRNA from 1 species